AGUGAAUAGAUCCCAGGUAGUCCUAGCUGUAAACGUUGGGUACUAGGUAUUGGGAGUGAGAACACUUUCAGUGCCGAAAGCGAAACGCGUUAAGUACCCCGCCUGGGGACUACGGCCGCAAGGUUAAAACCCAAAGGAAUUGACGGGGCCCGCACAAGCAGCGGAGCGUGUGGUUUAAUUCGAUGCGACACGAAGAACCUCACCUGGGUUUGACAUACAAGUAGUAGGGGAGCGAAAGCCGACCGAGCCGCAAGGCAGCUUGAACAGGUGCUGCAUGGCUGUCGUCAGCUCGUGCCGUGAGGUGUUGGGUUAAGUCCCACAACGAGCGCAACCCUUAUUGCCAGUUACAAGUAUCUGGCGAGACUGCCGGCGUAUAACCGGAGGAAGGUGGGGAUGACGUCAAGUCAGCAUGGCCUUUAUAUCCAGGGCUACACACACGCUACAAUGGCCGGUACAGAGGGCAGCGAAGCCGCGAGGCGGAGCCAAUCCCGCAAAGCCGGUCCCAGUUCAGAUUGCAGGCUGCAACCCGCCUGC
rnacentral:rRNA from 1 species